AACGAACGCUGGCGGCAGGCCUAACACAUGCAAGUCGAACGCCGUAGCAAUACGGAGUGGCAGACGGGUGAGUAACACGUGGGAACGUACCCUUCGGUUCGGGAUAACUCAGGGAAACUUGAGCUAAUACCGGAUACGUCCGAGAGGAGAAAGAUUUAUCGCCGAGGGAUCGGCCCGCGUCUGAUUAGCUUGUUGGUGAGGUAACGGCUCACCAAGGCGACGAUCAGUAGCUGGUCNGAGAGGAUGAUCAGCCAC
rnacentral:rRNA from 1 species